GGAGUGGUUCUUGGUAAACAAUUGAGAGAGUUGAAGUUCUUUCAUGAUCUUGUGAGAGGUGGUGCAUGGCCGUUCUUAGUUCGUGUAGUGAUAUGUCUGCCUAAUCGCGUCACGAUAACCUAUUGGUCGACAACCCAAUUAUCACAACUGCAGCAUAACUCCCCUUGGGUGGGCGAGGCUCUGUGUAGGAUAGACCUCUGAACAGUACGCAACGAACGCGAUCGUAAUCCCUUGUUGAGUGGCCAUCCUGUAAGCUGCUGGAUUAGGAACCCAGUGGUAUUAUCUCAGCCACAGAUUUUCUGGUUGUAAUGGGCCAGUUUUGAAACUCGGGGAACAUCUGUGACUUUCUUUCUUAACGCAGAGGAAGGUUAUGGCAAUAACAGG
rnacentral:rRNA from 1 species